GUCGCCAACGGGCAGUCCGAGCUCAGGUCACGGUGCCGUGACGACCCCGCUCGUCAGGCAGGAGUGUCCGGCUGCGCCGGUGAUCUCGUCCCACUCGGGCGGACGGCUGGGCAACAACCUGGCGGAGUAUGCCACCAUCUACGCCCUGGGACUCAGGUACAACAUGACGGCGGUGGCCACGCCGUCCUUGCUGCGCUUCAUACGUCACGUGUCUCCCAACACGACACUCCCUGUGGUGAGUGACGCGUGUGCCGAGCAGCACUCGCCGAUCCUGGCGAGCCAGUUCGAGAAGCUCAGCGACGAGGAGCGGCGCGCGCACAGCUGGUACAUCAAAUACUACCCGCACCACGCGCGGCUCUUCUGGCGCUAUCGGCACCAGCUGUGCGACGAGUUCGCCAUCAGGCCGGAUCUAUCUCGGGACGCGCAGCUACAGCUGCUGAACGUGAGCCGUGGCCGAACAGGGCUGACAUUCGUCGGUGUGCACGUCCGCAGGACCGACUACGCCUCCCACCUCAAGAGUGUGUUCCGUGGCAAACCAGUAAGCGUGUCAUUCUACACAGCUGCUAUGGAGCUGUGUCGGCAGCGAUACAAGAACCCACUAUUCAUCUUGACUAGUGAUGACCUGUCAUGGUGCAGGGCAAGUGACGUGACCUCUGAGACGAGUGAUGACCUGAUCCGGGGCAGGUGAGAUGGCCACCGAGACUGGUGAUGAUCUAUUAUCGUGCAGGAACUUCUGGCAAAAUGUCAACUGAGGGAGCACCUGCAGGCCGACGACGUAUACGUGCUCGGUGACAGCCGCACCGAGACCCCCGGUCCUGGACGGGACCUGGCUCUGCUGGCCGCCUGCAACCACACCGUGUUCGACUACGGCACCUACGGC
rnacentral:misc_RNA from 1 species